CGAUUCUUCCAUUGCUUCAGCUGCUGCAGCUACCUAGCAACCACAAAGCACAAUAAUGGCCACCGCCCUCAGCAGCCUCCGCGCGCCGGCUUUCUCCGUCCGCGCCGCCCCGGCGCCGGCGCCGGCCACCGUCGCGCUGCCGGCCAAGGUCGCCCGCGGCGCCAGGCUGCGCGCGCAGGCCACCUACAACGUCAAGCUCAUCACCCCCGACGGCGAGGUGGAGCUCCAGGUGCCCGACGACGUCUACAUCCUCGACCAGGCCGAGGAGGAUGGGAUCGACCUGCCCUACUCGUGCCGCGCCGGCUCCUGCUCCUCCUGCGCCGGCAAGGUCGUCUCAGGCUCCGUCGACCAGUCCGACCAGAGCUUCCUCGACGACGGCCAGGUCGCCGCCGGGUGGGUGCUCACCUGCCACGCCUACCCCACCUCCGACGUCGUCAUCGAGACGCACAAGGAGGAGGAGCUCAUCUAAGAAGCUCGAUCACUACCUGCUACGCGCUUGCUAUAUCUAGUAUCUGUCUUGCUCUUGCAAGAGAUCGAGUUUGACGACGCCGGACAAUUCCCUUUCUUGUAUCAUGCAUGUCAGUGUCACCAUGAGACCUUGCAAUUAAGCAUCGGCAUCAGCAGCUUCUCCAUCGUUUGUUACUCUGCUUAUUGCUGGUCUCUGUAUCAUUCAUUUUUACUGCGGAUGCAUGAUAGGCUUCGCUCAAGUAAUUAAUAACGUUUUUCCUCUUUAUUUUUGUACAACCAAUACAUAUAUAUACUAUAUAUAUAUACAUAUAUAUACUAUAUAUAUGUGUGUGUGUGUGUGUGUACGUAUGUACCUGACUAAACGUGCUACGGAAAUGCAGCUUGAGUAGUCGUCUGAAUCUGAUGCUAUUUGUUAUGCCAUGCUAUAAAAUGAUUCAAAAGAAAGCAUGUGUGGACUUGGCUAGCUAGUUUAUCGUGACCACCAAGAUCAACGGGGAUAUAUGUGUGUGACAGAGUUACUCAAAUUUAAUUUAUUUUUGAAAUGUUUGUUCAAAAUUUUUUGUUGCUCUUGGAUAGAAACCUAAGGCCCAAACCAACAAAUUAUAACAUGUAUACAAAACUUCCUCAACAUGUGCCAACCCCCAUCCUCCCACACACCACACAAUCGCAAGCACCCCUCGCACCCUCUCUCCGCCUCUUGCCUUAGCCUACCUCAUCUCAAAGCUUGAGAGUUCCUUUACCCCUACCAGGUGCAUAGUCCCCCUCCAUGUCACUAUUCGUCGAACCCUACCUCAUAUCAAAGCUUGUGAGUUCCUUUGCCCCUACCAUGUGCAUAGUCCCCCUUCAUGUCACUAUUCGUCGAACCCUAUUCAAAAUGGAUUAAUUUGACAAUACUUCUCGUAUCUCAAUCUCCUGGAAGUGAAGCAAGAUUCAAUUGACAUACAACACGGUGAAUUUCCUUUGGAAUAUAGUGUUUUGGAGGUAGUCCCCUGGUCUUUAAAGAAAGCUCAAUUAGGGCUGCAACCUAGCCUAAGCUAGUAGCGACUGCAGACAGCACGCUGGAAGGUGGGACAAUGAGGGAUACCGUUAGGCUGGUUGGGAGGAGAUGCCCAACGGGAGGUGCUAGUCAUGGGGAAAUGUUGUGAGAACUGAGAAGUGCUGGUUAUGGGAGAAUGUCAUGAGAACUGAGAAGUUACAAGGAAGAUAAAAUGCAGAUUGAGAGGAGAUAGAAAAGAAAGCAAUCACUGGAUCCAAAUAUGAUGGCUGAGGUUGUCAAAUGAGAGGACUAGCUCAUUUGAGAUGCGACACUAUCCCCAUCCUCCCCCACACACACACACCAACACAAGCACCCUUUAGUAUCACGCUCACAACCUUCCUCCACCCCUUGUCUUACCAGGCCGAGGAUAAUUGGAUCUUCCUAGGGGAUUUCAAUUUCUACAUAUCUCUGGAUGACAUGAACAAAUUGGGUGGUAAUUUUCUGGAUACCUUGCUAUUUAAUGACGUCAUUGGGCAGCUGGGCCUCAUUGAAUUACCAAUUAAGUGAAGGACUUUUACCAGGAGCAACAUGCAGCAAGAUCCUUUACUUGAGCAACUUGAUUAGUUUUUCACCUCUGUUAACUGGACAUCCUCAUAUCCCAACACCAUGGUUUUACCACUUGCUAAGCCCAUCUCAGAUUAUGUACCACUUGCUUAUAAGCAAUUGUGUUCAUUGGUGUGGACUCAAUAACAGAUGCUGGGCCACUAACAAGUUAUCACCUACUGCUAAAGAGUUGAGCUCGAUGUUGUUAUCAUUUUAUCGGAGUGAAUUGAGACUUGAAAGUCCAUGUUCGAUUAUAUGACGUCUAGUAUUUACUUGCUUUUAAGGACGCAAACAAGAAAAACAGGAUAUGCAAUAGAAAAAUUAGAGUUAGUCUCACCCUAGGGUUCGAGUUGCCGAUCCCUGGCAACAGCACCGGAAAAGCUUGUUGGCGGCAGUUAGCGCAUCAAUUUGUGAAUCACAAGCGCACGGAUUAUCGUAACUUUUUCCUUAGAGUAUUCCAUCUAAAGUUUAUCAAUCCGUAGUUCAGUAGCGAACUGACUAGAGUUUUCCACCUAAUCUAACGGAGCAGGCACUAGUUUUUAUACUGAUACUAUAUCGAUGGUUAGCUUUCCAUGCCAUAGUUUUUGCAGCAGGCUCGCUAGUUUUUGCUGACCACCCACCCACCCAUCACUCAUCACCAGGGAGAGAAGAAAAGAAGAGAAAGAAAAGAAAAGAGAAAAGAGAUCCAUGGUUGGCAUGGAAAGCUAACCAGCGAACUGACUAAUUUUUCAUACAUGUAAAAUUACGUGUAAUUUUAGAUCUCUGGCCAGAUACACAAAAAUUGACGAGAACCACAUGAUACCGCCAACUGCUAAGGACCGAAAGAAGCAUAUGCCCUGGAUCGAGGCCGUGGCCUCCACAUGCCACGCUCAACCAACCAAUGGGCAGUGACUGGCGCACACAGUCUAUUUUCUACUCCUUCCGUUCAUGUUUGUAUAUAAGGCGUAUGCGCAUAUCAAAUGUAAAAGUUUGCUAUCUUUGACCAAUAAUUUAACCAAUAUUUUUUUAUUUUUAUGGUAUAAAUUUGAAAUGGUUGGAUUUGCAAUCAAAUGUAUUCUCCAAUGAUUAUAAGUUUAUAAUCAUAAACAAUAUAAUAUAAGAUAAAUUAAUGGUCAAAGUGUAAUUUGGGAGUACGUGCCAUGCCAUAUCACGCCUUAUAAAAAUAAACGGAGGGAGUACGUGAGAAUACAAUGAAUACUACUUUCUCUGUCACUAUUUUGAGUAAUCACUAUAAAAAAUAACCUCUAUUGUCGGUUCCCAACCCCCCUCUAGUACCGAUUCUGCAACUGGUAGCAAUCCUGUACUCGAGGGGGAUCCUCUAGUACCGAUUGAGAUAACUUGUACUAGAGGGUGUUAAAAAAUUGAAAAAGAAGAACCCCCCCUCCCCCGCCGGUCCCGGCCUCCCUCCGCCCGCCGCCAGCCCCCUCCGCCUCCACCUCCUCCUCCCCCUCCUCUGCUGCACUCUCCCAUCACCGCCUCCUCUCCGCUCCCUGCUCCACCCCACUGCUCCCGCUGCCGCGCCCCUCCUGCGUCGUCGCAGCCGCCCCGGCCCGACGCCGCCACUCCUCAUCGUCGGUGAGGGGCGAGCGGAGGAGAGGCAGAUCUGGGAGAGGGAGUGUGAGGGAGGAGAGUAGAGGAUAGGAAGAGGAGAGGGAGUAUGAGAGAAGAGAAGGAGAAGUGUACUGGAUGAGGAGAUAAUGCAGACGCGGUGUGAGUGGGGGAGGGCCGGCGGCAGACGGGGCUUUAGUAUUGGGUGGGGUUUCCAACCACUAAAAGGGUACUUUAGUACCAGUUGGGAACCCUACUCGGUACAAAAGGACCUCUGGCAAAUUUUAACAUUAGUACCGGAUUCAAAUGUGAUCAGUGGGGAGAAGUUAUAUUUUUACUAGUGAAUUUCAUGGUCGGAGAAUUCUCGAUGACGUUUGGAGUCUAGCGUGUGGCCCUGCUGUAUUUCGACUUUCGAGUAGUUGAUUUCCCCCACGGAUGUCGUCCUGGUCCCGCCAAGAAGAUAAGCCUCCCGCCCUCCCCUUCACGCUACACCCACCCCGACCCUUCAUUUCACCUCAUCUCGCUUUUAGCUACCUAUAAGCUAUCAUCAUUAGCUGCUGCUCGCCUCUGCUAAUAGCUCCAACUCCUCCAGCUCCAAGCUCUCCCUUCACUACACACGCCGCAAGUCCGCAAUGGCCACCGUGCUCAGCAGCCUCCGCGCGCCUGCCUGCUUCGCCCUCCGCGCGGCCCCGGCGCCGGCGCCGUCCACCGUCCCGCUGCCGGCCAAGGCUCCCCGCGGAGCCAGGCUGCGCGCGCAGGCGACCUACAACGUCAAGCUCAUCACUCCCGACGGCGAGGUGGAGCUCCAGGUGCCCGACGACGUCUACAUCCUCGACCACGCCGAGGAGGAAGGGAUCGAGCUGCCCUACUCGUGCCGCGCCGGCUCCUGCUCCUCCUGCGCCGGCAAGCUCGUCUCCGGCAGCAUCGACCAGUCCGACCAGAGCUUCCUCGACGACGACCAGGUCGCCGCCGGGUGGGUGCUCAC
rnacentral:lncRNA from 1 species